GCUUGCUCCCGGAUGUUAGCGGCGGACGGGUGAGUAACACGUGGGUAACCUGCCUGUAAGACUGGGAUAACUCCGGGAAACCGGAGCUAAUACCGGAUAGUUCCUUGAACCGCAUGGUUCAAGGAUGAAAGACGGUUUCGGCUGUCACUUACAGAUGGACCCGCGGCGCAUUAGCUAGUUGGUGGGGUAAUGGCUCACCAAGGCGACGAUGCGUAGCCGACCUGAGAGGGUGAUCGGCCACACUGGGACUGAGACACGGCCCAGACUCCUACGGGAGGCAGCAGUAGGGAAUCUUCCGCAAUGGACGAAAGUCUGACGGAGCAACGCCGCGUGAGUGAUGAAGGUUUUCGGAUCGUAAAGCUCUGUUGUUAGGGAAGAACAAGUGCGAGAGUAACUGCUCGCACCUUGACGGUACCUAACCAGAAAGCCACGGCUAACUACGUGCCAGCAGCCGCGGUAAUACGUAGGUGGCAAGCGUUGUCCGGAAUUAUUGGGCGUAAAGGGCUCGCAGGCGGUUUCUUAAGUCUGAUGUGAAAGCCCCCGGCUCAACCGGGGAGGGUCAUUGGAAACUGGGAAACUUGAGUGCAGAAGAGGAGAGUGGAAUUCCACGUGUAGCGGUGAAAUGCGUAGAGAUGUGGAGGAACACCAGUGGCGAAGGCGACUCUCUGGUCUGUAACUGACGCUGAGGAG
rnacentral:rRNA from 1 species